rnacentral:rRNA from 1 species
GAUGAACGCUGGCGGCGUGCCUAAUACAUGCCAGUCGAGCGAACAGACGAGGAGCUUGCUCCUCUGACGUUAGCGGCGGACGGGUGAGUAACACGUGGAUAACCUACCUAUAAGACUGGGAUAACUUCGGGAAACCGGAGCUAAUACCGGAUAAUAUAUUGAACCGCAUGGUUCAAUAGUGAAAGACGGUUUUGCUGUCACUUAUAGAUGGAUCCGCGCCGCAUUAGCUAGUUGGUAAGGUAACGGCUUACCAAGGCAACGAUGCGUAGCCGACCUGAGAGGGUGAUUGGCCACACUGGAACUGAGACACGGCCCAGACUCCGACGGGAGGAAGCAGUAGGGACUCCUACGCGAUGGGGGAAAGCCUGACGGAGCAACGUCGCGGGAGUGAUGAAGGUCUUAGGAUCGGAAAACUCUGUUAUUAGGGAAGAACAAAUGUGUAAGUAACUAUGCACGUCUUGACGGUACCUAAUCAGAAAGCCACGGCUAACUACGUG